UCUUGCAAGGUCAAUAAUAAU
rnacentral:piRNA from 1 species